UAGGGAAUAUUGCUUAAUGGGCGAAAGCCUGAAGCAGCAACGCCGCGUGAACGAAGAAGGCCUUCGGGUCGUAAAGUUCUUUUACGUGGGAUGAGGAAGGACAGUACCACGAGAAUAAGUCUCGGCUAACUACGUGCCAGCAGCCGCGGUAAAACGUAGGAGACGAGCGUUAUCCGGCUUUACUUGGCGUAAAGAGCGUGUAGGAGGCGCUACAAGUUGGAUGUAAAAGCUCCCGGCUUAACUGGGAGAGGUCUGUCAGGACUGUAGAGCUAGAGUAAGGCAGAGGUAGAUGGAACUCCGGGAGUAGUGGUGAAAUGCGUAGAUAUCCGGAAGAACACCAGAGGCGAAAGCGAUCUACUGGACCUUAACUGACACUGAGACGCGAAAGCCAGGGUAGCAAACG
rnacentral:rRNA from 1 species